rnacentral:tRNA from 1 species
GGCCUUUUAGCUCAGUUGGUUAGAGCGCGCGACUCAUAAUCGUUCGGUCGCUGGUUCAAGCCCAGCAAGGGCCACCA